GGGGAUUUAGCUCAGUGGUUCCAGCGUGUGCUUCAGAAGCACAAGGUCCCAAGUUUGAUCCCCA
rnacentral:tRNA from 1 species